CAGCAGCCGCGGGAAAACGUAGGGUGCGAGCGUUAAUCGGAAUUACUGGGCGUAAAGUGUGCGCAGGCGGUUUGUUAAGACAGACGUGAAAUCCCCGGGCUCAACCUGGGAACUGCAUUUGUGACUGGCGAGCUAGAGUAUGGCAGAGGGGGGUCGAAUUCCACGUGUAGCAGUGAAAUGCGUAGAGAUGUGGAGGAAUACCGAUGGCGAAGGCAGCCCCCUGGGCCAAUACUGACGCUCAUGCACGAAAGCGUGGGGAGCAAACAGGAUUAGAUACCCGCGUAGUCCCUGUCUCUUAUAA
rnacentral:rRNA from 1 species